rnacentral:misc_RNA from 1 species
GAUGAAGAACGCAGCGAAAUGCGAUACUUGGUGUGAAUUGCAGAAUCCCGUGAACCAUCGAGUCUUUGAACGCAAGUUGCGCCCGAAGCCACUAGGCCGAGGGCACGCCUGCCUGGGCGUCACACGCCGUUGCCCCCCCAUCUACUCCUUCGGGAUUGCGGGGGGGCGGAUGAUGGCCUCCCGUGCGCCUAGCCGCGCGGUUGGCAUAAAUACCAAGUCCUCGGCGACGCACGCCACGACAAUCGGUGGUUGCGAAACCUCGGUUGCCCGUCGUGUGCGUUCGUCGCGCAUCGAGGGCUCGAAAAAAUGCUCGGCUCCGGCUGGGCUUUCAACGCGACCCCAGGUCAGGCGGGGUUACCCGCUGAAUUUAAGCAUAUCAAUAAGCGGAGGG